CGAUGUACACUAGGUGUCUGGCAACAAAGCUGGGUGCCAAAGCAAACGUGGUAAGUGUACCGCCUGGGGAGUAUGCCCGCAAGGGUGAAACUCAAAGGAAUUGACGGGGGCCCGCACAAGCGGUGGAGCAUGUGGUUUAAUUCGAUGGUACGCGAGGAACCUUACCUGGGUUUGACAUAGUACUUAAGUUCGUAGAGAUACGGAUGCGUAGCAAUACGAAGUACAACAGGUGCUGCAUGGCUGUCGUCAG
rnacentral:rRNA from 1 species